rnacentral:rRNA from 1 species
UACGUAGGGACCAAGCGUUGUUCGGAUUUACUGGGCGUAAAGGGCGCGUAGGCGGCGUGACAAGUCACUUGUGAAAUCUCUGAGCUUAACUCAGAACGGCCAAGUGAAACUGUUGUGCUAGAGUGCAGAAGGGGCAAUCGGAAUUCUUGGUGUAGCGGUGAAAUGCGUAGAUAUCGGGAGGAACACCAGUGGCGAAGGCGAGUCUCUGGGCUGUUACUGACGCUGAGGCGCGAAAGCCAGGGGAGCAAACGGG